CUAAAUCCCUUUUAUUGCUCUCAGGCUUAAAGGGACACUAUAGUCACCCAGAUCAUUUCAGCAAACUGAGGUAGUAUGGGUGCAGUGUCCAUGUUCUCUUAGCCCUGCAAUGUUUUGGAGAAACUGGAAUAAUUACAUUGCAGGAUUAAGACACCCUGUAGUGGUUAUCAAUCAGACUGCCACUAGAGGCACUUCCUGUUAGCUAACCGACAUGAGGACAUCCAGCGUUAGUUAAAUACCCAUUGAAAUGGGAAUGGC